rfam:Ricinus communis cultivar Hale ctg_1100012321897, whole genome shotgun sequence.
CUUGAGGCUUUUCUUAAAGCCAAAACACAUUUGAAGCAAGAAAAUC